GAUGAACGCUGGCGGCGUGCUUAACACAUGCAAGUCGAACGGAAAGGCCCAAGCUUGCUUGGGUACUCGAGUGGCGAACGGGUGAGUAACACGUGGGUGAUCUGCCCUGCACUUCGGGAUAAGCCUGGGGAACUGGGUCUAAUACCGGAUAGGACCACAUUUUGGAUGGUGUGGUGGAAAGUUUUUCGGUGUGGGAUGAGCUCGCGGCCUAUCAGCUUGUUGGUGGGGUAAUGGCCUACCAAGGCGUCGACGGGUAGCCGGCCUGAGAGGGUGUACGGCCACAUUGGGACUGAGAUACGGCCCAGACUCCUACGGGAGGCAGCAGUGGGGAAUAUUGCACAAUGGGCGCAAGCCUGAUGCAGGGACGCCGCGUGGGGGAUGACGGACUUCGGGUUGUAAACUCCUUUCGCUAGGGACGAAGCGUUAUGUGACGGUACCUGGAGAAGAAGCACCGGCUAACUACGUG
rnacentral:rRNA from 1 species